CCCUAGACUUUUCAUUUUAUUUUCUGCUUAAGCCAACUGAGGUGGAACCAAAGAGUACAAGGCCCCUGCAACCCCAGGAGUGCUGGCAGAUUACCGGGGACCAUGUGGCACUCAUUGCUACCUCUUCUGCAGAGCCAGAGCCACCUGGGCCUCUGCAUUCCCUCCUCAGAAGAUGUUUCCCUUUUUCCAGCAAGGGGGCAGGGGGGGUGACACACAGGUCAGCGGGUACAGGCCUUGGCUGCCCCUGUAGCCCCCGUAGCCUCUGUACACGCUUGUGCCCUGUAAGUAUGAGGCUGAGAGGACAGGGUCUCUGUGGCAGGGGCUGGCCCCAGCUCACUGGCGAGCCUGCUGUUGCUGGGGCUGCAGACGUGCCGGGACUGAGAAGGAGCUCUCCCAGCCUCUGCUGAAGAGGAACCGGGAGGGAGACGGGAGACAGGGCCAGGCCUCAGAAACAAAGGCGUUGCCAUGGUAACCUCUAAAAAAACCGACUCCAGCAGGCAAGGGAGGGGUGCAGCGUGCAGGCCCCCAAUCCAGGACAAGGACAAGGCCAGUUGCCACGGAGAUGCUCCAAAGCUUCCCUUGUGGACCUGGCUGGCGUCCAGCUCUGGGUCGGGAAACCCACCACCACCCUCCAUGCCUCUCACCCCCAUAAGUCUCUAAGACUCUGACCUCUGUGCAGAGCACAUGCCCCUAAGGGGUUCAACCUACCUGCCCACCCCUUGGCCAUGAACUCUGGGUAAGCGCAGCAUCAGAAAACGAGCCAGGGGAGAGGCCACAUUGGAAUGAGCUUCCUGUCUGCCAAUAGGCCACUGCAGCUCUGAGUGUGGCCUCCUGCACCCCAGCCUCAGGAGGGGGUAGGUCUGAUCCCGAAGGGGCCCUGCAGCUGGGAAACUGGUUUACCUGCUUUUAACAGAUGCAAUAAGCUGGGCUCCAAGGGCUUCCUGGUCCCUGAGGCUGGGACUGGGCGGGAAUCCCUCUCAGCUGGAAGGAGGGUGACUUUGGACCAACUCAAGAGGGCUUUUCAUGAUUUUCACUGAGGUCAAGAGGCCAAUUCCAAAGGCAACAUUCUCCAGGAAUGGAAUGGAAGACAAGAGCAGAAAGGGAGGCAGAGGGUCCAGGGCCAUGCGGUCACCAUGAUGAGGAGCAGGAAGAGGGUGGCGGCCGGCGUUAUCCGGUGCCUGGCAACCUGCGUGCCUCACCCAGUUUCACUUUUGCAACAGCCGCUGAAGCAGAUACUAUGUGUCAUCAUUCCCACUUUACAGGUGCCAUGGAAGCCUGAGGUUGGUCCGGCUUCCACCUUCCUGCAGCCCAGGCUUGAGACAUGGACAACACUUGAAGGGCGAAUUUCCCAUGACUGCCUGGGAGGAAGGGGCAGCCCCAGAUGUCAGGAAAGGCUCCCAGGUCAUAGCCUCUGACCCCAUGCCGCACACAGCCUGUGCCCCUACUGCGCUCCCCAGCAUGGUGCCAUGCAGGGAGCCUCAGCCCUGUGCAUCCCUCUCAGCUGUACCCCAGCUGCUGGCACCCCAACUUGCUUCUUUCUGUGCCUAUUGGGUGCCUGCUGCUCUGCUGACCCUGGGCUGGGCACCAGGGUUCUGCCCUGAGUGGGCAUGGGCCCAGGGGGCUACAGGAACCCCAGGACAAGUGGGGUGGGGUGCUGGUCCUUCUCUCUCAGCCUGCUGCAGGGGCUCAUGUGCAGUGGGAGGGGUGUGGGCAUAGGCACCGCAGUGCAGUGUGGGGACCAGACACGGAGGAAAGACAGCUUGGGCUGGUUAAAUUUAAGUGCUGGAGCCACUGGCUAAGCUGUAACACCAGGGAGGCUGCCAGGCACAGGUGAGAGGGAGGCAAAGUUUAAACAUGCCAGGGAGCGGCAACAGUGGGCACGGGUGCCGAGGUAGCAGGGAGGGGCUGGCCUCAGGGGCCGCCAGCCUUUCUGUAGGGGCACUCUCGCUCCAGCAGGCAGGGUCAGGAGGCCAGGGAAGUCAGCCCGGCAUUUGGGUUCUUGCAGAGGACGCAUGCUGCUCCCUUUCCAUCCCUGGGAGAGGAAGGCAGGGGAGGGGACAGCGAGCCAUCACGAGCCAGGCCUGCCCCAAGGUCACUGUGCAGAGGGCGCCAGGCGGCCCCGAGGGCUGCACUGUGCCCAGGCCGGGAGUGUCACACUCAGAAGCACAAGUGGGCCACCUGUGCAGUCCCGUGAGGCUCAGUUCACCGCUCUGUAGUGCUGCCUUGAAACUCUUAAUAAUUCCCAGGGAGGAGCCCACUUUCAUUUUGCCCCGGCCCACACAUGUCCUGAGAGAGGGGGCCGGUUGGCUCGGGAAGGAUGAGAGGCCCUGUGCGGGGCACUGCUCAUGCCACUCCUGCUGACGGAAGCAGGCUUCCCAGGGUUCUCCGAGGCACCCGUCGGAGACAAAGCUAGCCUGGCACCUCCACCCAUUCCUUGACUUUGGGAACUAUGCAGAUUUCUGGACUCCUAGCCAAGCUGCACAUAGUAGGUGCUCAGUAAAUGAAAUGCCCCUGGGUGCUGGCAGCAGGUGGGUGCAGGUGGUCUGGGCAGAUGGCCCAGAGCCAGGAUGGAUCCUGGAGCUCCACGUGAGUCCAGGCCCCACCACUUGCUAACAGGUCGCUCCAAGCCUCAGAUUCCCCAGAGCUGUGCGAGGAGACAAGGCAUGUGAACACCCUGCAGGGGGAGCUGUGCAGAUAGGCUCCGAGGGCAGACAGCAUGCACGUGGCCCCCUGGUGAACCUCUGGUGCUCUGCCCAGCCGCCACCCCUGUCUUCCAGAAACAGCUUGAAUCCUCCUACAGGGACCCUCACCCACAGACUGACCCCAGCCCUGGGCCCAGGCAGUGGCACAUGCCCGGGACCCAGGACAUCACUACAUCACUUUGGGAUAAUCAGUGAGCCCAUGCUUGGGCUUGGGCAUGAGGCCUUGCAUUCACUCCUGGGGCUGUGAGCUGUGGGAUGUCUGCCUGGCCGUGCUAGGCAGUGGGGAGCCUUGAACGGGGAGACACAGGCUCUGAUGAGAGCGUCCGGACUCCUUGACCCAGCCAUGCCUGAAGGAGGUGCUGCAGCCAGAGGACCCUCAGAUACAUGUCCUGUGAGCCAGGGUUUCCAUGCCCCCUUAUUCAUGCACUGGGAGGACAGGACAGGCCUCUAGACCCCUCCUCUCUC